CGCGAAGAACCUUACCAAGGCUUGACAUACACCGGAAAGCAUCAGAGAUGGUGCCCCCCUUGUGGUCGGUGUACAGGUGGUGCAUGGCUGUCGUCAGCUCGUGUCGUGAGAUGUUGGGUUAAGUCCCGCAACGAGCGCAACCCUUGUCCCGUGUUGCCAGCAGGCCCUUGUGGUGCUGGGGACUCACGGGAGACCGCCGGGGUCAACUCGGAGGAAGGUGGGGACGACGUCAAGUCAUCAUGCCCCUUAUGUCUUGGGCUGCACACGUGCUACAAUGGCCGGUACAAUGAGCUGCGAUACCGCGAGGUGGAGCGAAUCUCAAAAAGCCGGUCUCAGUUCGGAUUGGGGUCUGCAACUCGACCCCAUGAAGUCGGAGUCGCUAGUAAUCGCAGAUCAGCAUUGCUGCGGUGAAUACGUUCCCGGGUCUUGUACACACCG
rnacentral:rRNA from 1 species